UACGUAGGUGGCAAGCGUUGUCCGGAUUUACUGGGCGUAAAGAGCGCGCAGGCGGUCGUUCAAGUCGCGUGUGAAAGCCCCCGGCUCAACUGGGGAGGGUCACGCGAUACUGAUCGACUCGAAGGCAGGAGAGGGAAGUGGAAUUCCCGGUGUAGUGGUGAAAUGCGUAGAUAUCGGGAGGAACACCGGUGGCGAAGGCGGCGACCUGGGUCGAGACUGACGCUGAGGCGCGAAAGCGUGGGGAGCAAACAGG
rnacentral:rRNA from 1 species